CAUCUUUCGUCUUUCCCUUCGUCCUUCCCUCUGCUAAGUGGAAGCGGAGGAGGAGGAGGAGGAGGUGGAGGAGGGAGGAAGAGAAGAAGGUGAAGGAGGAAGAGGAGAAGGAGAAGGAAGGAAAACGAGAACGGCAACGAGCAGGGCCCCAAACUAUGUAAAUUGCAAUGUGUCUGCUGUUGACAGUGUCCGCCCGGAAGAAAAUGGACUCAAAGAAAACGGGCGGGGGGAAUUGUUACUUGAUGUGGAGUCACGUGAAAUAGAAAAAGAAUGGGGAUGGGGCAGAGCAAACCUUGUGCCGCUCACUGCCUCAAACAUUCAGAUCCUUCAUCUACCCACUCAGUGCAAGCUUCCAGACAAUUCUCCCCUGUUCCUCCCCAGCGACACUCAACCAUUUCCCUCAACGCUGAACAGAAUCAGACUCUCCUUCACUAAGAAGUCGUAAGAGCAUUAGCUGAUUUUUUAAGUUAAUUAUGAGUAACUUUUUCUUAUAGCACUCAAUCGAAUGAACAUUGACGUGUAUUCUUGUGUUUAAUCUAAGAAAAAAGCAGAUUAACAGCGAAAUAAGAAAGGACUAUGUGAAAAUAAACGAAAAAAAAAGUGAAAUAUAGAAAUAGGUCAAUGAACUGAAUAGAACAUUACAUAAAAAAAAUAAAAAACAGACAAAUAUGAAAAAAUAGAUGAAAAUAAAUGAAUAAAGUACUAACAUAAAAAAAAGUAUAAAUAAAUAAAUAACCAGACCACCAUGAAGACUAACACUGACUAAUAUUGACAGGCAAGUAACAAAAAAAAAAAAAAAAAAGAUAGACGAAAGAAAAAAAUAAUAAAAUAAUAACAUAACAAUAAAUACAUAACAAUAAAUAAACUUUCCACCAUCAGGACAAGCACAGCAUCAGAGGAAUAACUGUAAAAUUAGUGUAAAUAUAACCAUGGGAGAAACUUGGGAACAAAGGAAGGAGUCAGGUUAA